rnacentral:rRNA from 1 species
CCUACGGGUGGCAGCAGUGAGGAAUAUUGGUCAAUGGACGAGAGUCUGAACCAGCCAAGUAGCGUGAGGGAUGACUGCCCUAUGGGUUGUAAACUUCUUUUGUAAAGGAAUAAAGCGGGGCACUUGUGCCUUUUUGCAUGUACUUUAUGAAUAAGGAUCGGCUAACUCCGUGCCAGCAGCCGCGGUAAUACGGAGGAUGCGAGCGUUAUCCGGAUUUAUUGGGUUAAAAGGGAGCGUAGGUGGGCUGUUAAGUCAGUGGUAAAAGUUUGGGGCUCAACCGCGGCGAGCCGUUGAAACUGGCAGGCUGGAGUUGGAGUGAGGUACGCGGAAUGCGCGGUGUAGCGGUGAAAUGCUUAGAUAUCGCGCAGAACCCCGAUUGCGAAGGCAGCGUAC